rnacentral:lncRNA from 10 species
GCCCUGCUGCACCUGCUCCCUCUUAGUACUGAAUGCCCUACGAUCCCCACCGAAUGAGGAAGGACGCUAGAGGUUACAGGACUGGUCCCCGACCGCUCAGCCAGAAACAGGCUUUGAACCCUGCUGAACUCCGGUGGCACAGGCUGCACAAGGCUUGCGUCUCCCUGGAAGGGCCACUCCUCUCUGGUCAGCGAAAUCUCCUCCCCGCCCAGGAAUCUGGACGGCCCCUGCCAUUUGCCUGGUUGUUCCCCUACCCGAGUGCCCUCGAUUUUCCCCUCUGGUCGGGGCAGGAGCGGCAGGGCUGGAUGCCAGGGCCCCAGGGGCAGGGAGGUGAGUGGGCACCACUCCUUCCCCCACGGGUAAGGUGGACAUCCAGCUUCGGACCACAUCACAGACGCCCAGGCCCCCAGCCACAGCCGGGAUCACUCAGCUGGGUAACGUCUCCACUUCCCAGCUGGGCCAGAACUUUUCCAUGCUGCCAGGACUUGCAAGAAAACAGCUGUCUGGCUGGCUGUGCACUGUCCAUGAGCCCUGGUGGGGUUGUGAUUAUUGCUGGUAGGAGGCCGGGGACGAGGCCAGAAGCCUGGAGGCCGUGUGAGGAUCACGCCUCGUGA